rfam:Schistosoma rodhaini strain Burundi genome assembly, scaffold: SROB_scaffold0002178
GCACUGCUGAGGAGUCCCAUAAUAGGACGAAACGGCCGUCCACUGC